UACGUAGGGCGCAAGCGUUGUCCGGAAUUAUUGGGCGUAAAGAGCUCGUAGGCGGCCUGUUGCGUCCGCUGUGAAAACCCGCGGCUCAACCGCGUGGCUUGCAGUCGAUACGGGCAGGCUAGAAUUCGGUAGGGGAGACUGGAAUUCCUGGUGUAGCGGUGAAAUGCGCAGAUAUCAGGAGGAACACCGGUGGCGAAGGCGGGUCUCUGGGCCGAUAUUGACGCUGAGGCAUGAAAGCGUGGGGAGCAAACAGG
rnacentral:rRNA from 1 species